AAACAGCCGGAAUAGCUAGAAACUUAUAAAUAAGGAAAGAGAGG
rnacentral:tRNA from 2 species